rnacentral:ncRNA from 20 species
GUUGGGGUAGGAACUCCAGAGUUAUUGUCCAGCGGAACGGAAUGUGAACGCUGGAAGGAGGCCGCAGGGCUGCUUUGGUUUUCCGCAUUCACCAC